GAAAGGAAGUCACAUCUCUAACAAAGACCUAUAAAUGUGAGAUAAAAUUGGAUUGGGAGAUGUUUUGAUUUGACAUUUUCUUUGCCAUUGUGCAUGAAUACAAUGAUUAUAACUAUUUACUGCUUUGCUUUAGCUGGCACAGCAUUAUUUACAAUGUAAAUAUGAUAUGUACAUUUCAUCCCUUGUAAACAUAUGGUAAACUUGUAAGUCAUUUGGAGAUGUGGCAAUGGUACAUUGGAUUGCUUUUAUUUGCCCUACAGGCAUAUAUUUUUAUUUAUGUUUUACAUCUCAUCACAGGUGUAUCAGCUAUACUUCUACAAAGUGGAUGCCUGGGAAUACAGUGACCUAGAACCUUGACAGUGCUACAAUGCCUUCAGCUGUCUGUAAAAUCAUUCACCCCUGGUGGAACAGUUGCUAACAGGAAAGCUGCUUGAAGGUGGAGAGAAUGUCCUCAUGGAUUUCCAUGUGAGGUUGAAAUAGGGAGUAUGAUCAUCCACCUAGGGAGAAACAGCUGUAGUGGUGCCAUAGAGUCAUCAACCCAUUAUAAGUAGCAGAAAACAGCAUUUACUGUUGUGUA